AGCAAAGAAAGAAGACACUAAAAGUAAUUAUGCUUAUUAUAUUUUUCCAUAUAUUUAUAAUGUUUUAUAUUUAAGGUGAGGUGUGUGUGUGUGUGUGUGUGUGUUUACAGGAAGAUAACCAGAGUGUAAGGGUGUCUGUGUAAGAGUGUUCUACACAUGAAAUGUACAAUGAUUAAUUAAUAUUAUCCAUUUGGGAAACCUGUCCCCUUCCAGGCCCAGCACUGAUGAUAAAACACAUAAUGGCAAAGAGGUGUGGAUGUGGAGACAAUAAGCAGACACUUGGAUGUAGCAGGGAAGAAUUAGUAUCAAGCUGAGUAAUUUCACGAUGUAGAGAAACAAACCAGAGAGCAAAUUGUGAUGGAGGUGUGGGAGGAAGAAUUGAAUACUCAAUUUGUACAGUCUCCAAAUGAGAAGAAGUCUCCCUGUAUCCACUACAGCUAGGAAUACACUGGGUUACACCUAAAGCCAGCGUAUCUCUGAGUGUCACCCAAGGUCCAUGCCUAAGAUAUGGUUCCAUUAUUAUAAGUCAUCUUGCAGAUUUGGGAGUGGAACACAAGACAGGCUAAAACUCAGAACAAGGUUCAAAGGUUCUCCUGUGAAGAAGAGGAGAUCCAGAAAGAAAGCAAAUGAUGAAUUUUAGUAGAGAUAAGGAAAUUAAAGCUCAGAGACGUGAAGUGACGUAUCCAAGAUCACACAGUAAAGAGAAAGCCAGGUGCAGUGGCUCACACUUGUAAUCCUAGCACUUUGGGGGCCGAGGCAGGCGGAUCACCUGAGGUCAGAAGUUCAAGACCAGCCUGGUCAACCUGGUGAAACCCCAUCUCUACCAAAAAUACAAAAAAUUAACUGGGCAUGGUGGCUCAUGCCUGUAAUCUCAGCUACUCAGGAGGCUGCGGCAGGAGAAUCGCUUGAACGCGGGAGAUGGAGGUUGCAGUGAGCCGAGAUAGCGCCACUGCACUCCAGCCUGGGUGACAGAGCAAGACCCUGUCUCAAAUAAAUAAAUAAAUAGAAACCA
rnacentral:lncRNA from 13 species